CAAGUGACCCCGGUCUAACCACCGGGACGUUCAUAACCCUUUGUUGUCCGACUCUGUUGCCUCCGGGGCGACCCUGCCUUCGGGCGGGGGCUCCGGGUGGACACUUCAAACUCUUGCGUAACUUUGCAGUCUGAGUAAACUUAAUUAAUAAAUUA
rnacentral:misc_RNA from 1 species